rnacentral:rRNA from 1 species
AUUGAACGCUGGCGGAAUGCUUUACACAUGCAAGUCGAACGGUAGAGGGGGCAACCCCUUGAGAGUGGCGAACGGGUGAGUAAUAUAUCGGAACAUACCCUAGAGUGGGGAUAACGUAGCGAAAGUUACGCUAAUACCGCAUACGCACUAAGGUGGAAAGUGGGGGAUCUUCGGACCUCAUGCUCAUGGAGUGGCCGAUAUCUGAUUAGCUAGUUGGUGAGGUAAAGGCUCACCAAGCCGACGAUCUGUAGCUGGUCUGAGAGGACGACCAGCCACACUGGGACUGAGACACGGCCCAGACUCCUACGGGAGGCAGCAGUGGGAAUUUUGGACAAUGGGCGCAAGCCUGAUCCAGCAAUGCCGCGUGCAGGA